AUGCUGUGAUGAGUUUAUUAUACGCUAUGAAUUUCCAUUGAAAUCCAAUAUCCACGAGCUUUUUAACUCUGAGCAUA
rnacentral:snoRNA from 1 species